CAGGUGCAGCACAGGCAGCAGCUGUGCCAGCUUCCCUCACGCUGCCUGGCCAAUGCGCCUUAC
rnacentral:sRNA from 1 species